rnacentral:sRNA from 1 species
AACAACGACUCAAGCGAUCCGAUGGGAAGGGCAUCUCUGGGAAGAGCCAGAUCCUGUUUGCUCUCGUCUUCACCACCAGGUACCUGGACCUGUUCACCAACUUCAUCUCCAUCUACAACACAGUAAUGAAGGUGGUUUUUCUCCUCUGUGCCUAUGUUACAGUGUACAUGAUAUAUGGGAAAUUCCGUAAAACUUUUGACAGUGAGAAUGACACAUUCCGCCUGGAGUUUCUUCUGGUCCCAGUCAUUGGCCUUUCCUUCCUUGAAAACUACAGUUUCACUCUGCUGGAGAUCCUCUGGACUUUCUCUAUCUACCUGGAAUCAGUGGCUAUUCUGCCCCAGCUCUUCAUGAUCAGCAAGACUGGAGAGGCUGAGACCAUAACUACUCACUACCUGUUCUUUCUGGGUCUGUACCGGGCACUCUACCUGGCUAACUGGAUCAGGCGGUACCAGACUGAGAAUUUCUAUGACCAAAUUGCAGUGGUGUCUGGAGUAGUACAAACCAUCUUCUACUGUGACUUCUUCUACUUGUAUGUGACCAAAGUCCUUAAGGGAAAGAAGUUAAGUCUUCCAAUGCCAAUCUGAGGACCUUCAGAGACAGUCUACGCCUUAACAAGCACAUGAAGCAAACUAUUUAGAAUGUUCUCUUUGGCAACUUAUCCAUAAUUUGGGAUCAAAUGUUAAAACCAGAAAAGUGCUUAGUGUGGAUUUCAGCAAAACCUGAUCGUCCCACCGAGAAGACCUUCUCAUCAAUAGAUCGCCCUUAAAGACCCAUUGUAAGGUCAUAAAAAACCUCGGCCAACUGCACAAAGAUGGUGCCUCACUGCAACAAGAAACCUUAAGGUGUCUUACCGACGAAAUAAAAAAAAUAAAUGAUUGUUCUCCAAGGCCCGAGGGCAAGACUCAUGAUGAGCAAGUCAACCCCAAUCUGGAACAAUGUCCCUCCCUCUUAAGAAUGUCCCAACUAAAGACC